AAUUUGCCCAAGAAAUCGUGAAUAACAUAUUUUUUAAUCACGCAACUUACGACGGAAUCGCGGAAACUAUGAAGUACACAUAUGGUUGGAAUAAAUUGUUCUCGCGAAAAACCGUGGCGGUUAUUUUCCUGCGACACGAGAUUGAAUGCGACAUCAGAGAGCAGAAGAUCACCUUCCAGUUUGAAGAGCAGAGAAGUGUUUUGCAAUAUUUGGACAAGCGUAUGGACGAGAUCUUCGCAAGCACAUACGAACACCGCUGUUCUGGCGAGUGCGUAGCCAAAGGGUGUGGAAGACUGUUUAUUAUGGACGGACUUUGGAAAAUCGUGUUCCGGCAUUGUAUAGCAGAAGUGCGGAAUUUCGUUGAAGGAAUUUCUUUGAUUAACUUUCCUCAAGUUUGCACGCAUUCGCCAUGUGGCAGG